UACGAAGGGGGCUAGCGUUGCUCGGAAUCACUGGGCGUAAAGGGCGCGUAGGCGGCGUUUUAAGUCGGGGGUGAAAGCCUGUGGCUCAACCACAGAAUGGCCUUCGAUACUGGGACGCUUGAGUAUGGUAGAGGUUGGUGGAACUGCGAGUGUAGAGGUGAAAUUCGUAGAUAUUCGCAAGAACACCGGUGGCGAAGGCGGGUCUCUGGGCCGAUACUGACGCUGAGGAGCGAAAGCGUGGGGAGCAAACAGG
rnacentral:rRNA from 1 species